rnacentral:lncRNA from 1 species
CACAGGUGUGUGUUCAUCAUGUAAAGCUGUCAGAGCGUCUGUGCGCGUCACACCUGUGCAGGUGAAUGGGUGUUUACUCAGUCAUAAACACUGUGCUGCGUGAGGAAGGAUCCGAGAUGUCGCUCGCCCCUUAAAUCACUUUCUGCACCACCGAAAGUGACUGCUGUCCUCAGCCCAUCUGUUUGCCUGCUCUUCACCUUCAGCCUCGGCCUGGAUCUGCAGCCAAUCAGACGCCAGCGCUGUUCAUUAAAGCAACAGUUCACCCUAAAAUCAGCACCGUUUACUCUCACUCGUGUCCUUCAGACCUGAGCUUGUUCUCUGGAGCUCAAAAGAAGAUAUUGCUUAUAUCAGACCCCAGUG